GCAAGUCGAACGGAAAUAAAGGAGCUUGCUCCUUUAAAUUAGUGGCGAACGGGUGAGUAACACGUGGGCAACCUGCCCCUGACUCUGGGAUAACUACUCGAAAGAGUAGCUAAUACCGGAUAUGAAACCUGAAGACAUCUUCGGGUUUGGAAAGUUUUUCGGUCAGGGAUGGGCCCGCGGCCUAUCAGCUAGUUGGUGAGGUAUGGCUUACCAAGGCGACGAUCGGUAGCUGGUCUGAGAGGGUGACC
rnacentral:rRNA from 1 species